rnacentral:rRNA from 1 species
GAUGAACGCUGGCGGCGUGCCUAAUACAUGCAAGUCGAGCGAACGCACGAGAAGCUUGCGCCUCUGACGUUAGCGGCGGACGGGCGAGUAAGACGUGGGUAACCUACCUAUAAGACAGGGAUAACUUGGGGAAACCGGAGCUAAUACCGGCUAAUAUUUUGAACAGCAUGGUUCAAAAGUGAUAGACGGUAAUGCUGUCUAUUAUAGAUGGUGCGGCGCUGCAUUAGCUAGGUGGUAAGGUAACGGCCUACCAAGGCAACGAUGCGUAGCCGACCUGUGAUGGUGAGCAGCCACACCGGAACUGAGACACGGUCCAGACUCCUACGGGAGGCAGCAGUAGGGAAUCUUCCGCAGUGGGCGAAAGCCUGACGGAGCACCGCCGCGUGAGUUAUGAAGGUCUUCGGAUCGUAAAACUCUGUUAUUAGUGUAGAACAUAUGUGUAAGUAACUGUGCCCAUCUUGACGGUACCUAAUCAGAAAGCCACGGCUAACUACGUG